GGUGGCUCAGUGGUAGAGUGCUUGCCUCACAUGCAUGAGGUCCUGGGUUCGAUUCCUCAGCACCA
rfam:Dipodomys ordii contig_41729, whole genome shotgun sequence.